GUGAGAUAUCGAUCAACUCGUGUAACACCAGAAAUCUGAACGAUAGAGGGAAUUACCUUAUGAUCCUGAUUCCUUUGGUGAUGAUGGCAAUUUCAUUGUUUGCUUUUGCAAAAUACUUCUCUAAUUGAUGUCCGAAUGACCAGUCCUAAUACCUG